rnacentral:rRNA from 1 species
GCUCAGGACGAACGCAGGCGGCGUGCUUAACACAUGCAAGUCGGACGGAAAGGCCUUGUUUGCAAGGUACUCGAAUGGCGAACGGGUGAGUAACACGUGGGUGAUUUGCCCUGCACUUUGGGAUAAGCCUGGGAAACUGGGUUUAAUACCGGAUAGGACCAUGUUUUAGUGUGUCAUGGUGGAAAGGUUUUUUAACUGGUGUGGGAUGAGCUCGCGGCCUAUCAGCUUGUUGGUGGGGUAAUGGCCUACCAAGGCGUCGACGGGUAGCCGGCCUGAGAGGGUGGACGGCCACAUUGGGACUGAGAUACGGCCCAGACUCCUACGGGAGGCAGCAGUGGGGAAUAUUGCACAAUGGGCGCAAGCCUGAUGCAGCAACGCCGCGUGGGGGAUGACGGCCUUCGGGUUGUAAACUCCUUUCGACCAUGACGAAGCCUUGUUUU